CGGGCUGUAGCGCAGCCUGGUAGCGCGUUCGUCUGGGGGACGAGAGGUCGCGGGUUCGAACCCCGCCAGCCCGACCA
rnacentral:tRNA from 6 species